UCGAGAGGCUUUGGCAAUGGGGGAAACCCUGACCAAGCGACGCCGCGUGGAGGAUGAAGGCCCUUGGGUUGUAAACUCCUUUUGCUAGGGAAGAAAUGCGAUCAGGUGAACAAUCUGGUCGUUUGACGGUACCUGGCGAAUAAGCUCCGGCUAACUCCGUGCCAGCAGCCGCGGUAACACGGGGGGAGCAAGCGUUGUUCGGAAUCACUGGGCGUAAAGGGCGUGUAGGCGGUCAAGUAAGUGGGAUGUGAAAUCCCUCGGCUCACCCGAGGACCUGCAUCCCAAACUGCUUGGCUUGAGUAUGGGAGAGGAUGAGGGAAUUCCUGGUGUAGCGGUGAAAUGCGUAGAUAUCAGGAGGAACACCGGUGGCGAAGGCGCUCAUCUGGCCCAAUACUGACGCUGAGGCGCGAAAGCUAGGGGAGCAAACGGGAUUAGAUACCCCCGUAGUCC
rnacentral:rRNA from 1 species